GGCUAGUUAGCUCAGUUGGUUAGAGCGUGGUGCUGAUAACACCAAGGUCGUGGGUUCGAUCCCCGUUCGGUCCC
rnacentral:tRNA from 1 species